ACAGGCCUAACACAUGCAAGUCGAACGGUAACAGGAAGAAGCUUGCUUCUUUGCUGACGAGUGGCGGACGGGUGAGUAAUGUCUGGGAAACUGCCUGAUGGAGGGGGAUAACUACUGGAAACGGUAGCUAAUACCGCAUAACGUCGCAAGACCAAAGAGGGGGACCUUCGGGCCUCUUGCCAUCGGAUGUGCCCAGAUGGGAUUAGCUAGUAGGUGGGGUAACGGCUCACCUAGGCGACGAUCCCUAGCUGGUCUGAGAGGAUGACCAGCCACACUGGAACUGAGACACGGUCCAGACUCCUACGGGAGGCAGCAGUGGGGAAUAUUGCACAAUGGGCGCAAGCCUGAUGCAGCCAUGCCGCGUGUAUGAAGAAGGCCUUCGGGUUGUAAAUACUUUCAGCGGGGAGGAAGGGAGUAAAGUUAAUACCUUUGCUCAUUGACGUUACCCGCAGAAGAACCACCGGCUAACUCCGUGCCAUUAACCGCUGUAAUACGGAUCUGCGAGCGUUAAUCUAAAUUACUGGGAGUAAAGCGCACGCAAGCGAUUUGUUAAAUCAGAUGUGAAAAUCCCCGGGCUCAACCUGAAAAACUGCAUCUGAUACUGGGAAGCUUGAGUCUCGUAGAGGGGGGGUAAGAAUUCCAGGUGUAAC
rnacentral:rRNA from 1 species